UUUUGUUCUGCGCUGAUCCAUCCUUUCAGCUCUGACACUAUUCCGUCAGACUCGGAAAUCUGUGUGACCAUAUCGAGCAACCAGACCCAGAGGGGCAUACAGGGGAGGUUACGGGUUGGCAGCAAGGAGAGACUGACUUUAUUUGGACAAGUCCAGCUGAACCCUUCGCAAUCAGGUCACCAAGCAAUAAAAGUUAGAGCUAAUUUCACCCACCAGCUCCAGGUAGACCAACCCCAAAGUUAUUAAACUGUGUGAAGUGCUCAGUAGUAUGAUGGUGAUUGUAGUCAACAGUACAAUAAGUACAGUACAAUAGUUUACAGUAGAAGAGGCCAAACUUGUGACCAGUUUGCUGUUAUUGCUGUUACAGCUGCAACUCCCCUCCUCUGCUAUAAUGGAGGGAGAUGUAUGUUGGAACCCCAAAAACAACACAGGCUUUGAUUAUCAGACCCGAGGCAAGCUGAGAAUAGAGCGCCAGGAGUGCCAAGUGAGUAAAGCAAACUUCAAAUUUGAAUUGGUGUUUGUUUAACCUGUAGCGUUUCUGAUAAAGUUGGGUUUUUUUUUUAGCUUUCUGUGCAGCUAAAUGGGACAUCAGGCAGAGUCGGACUCUAUUUGUCUCUCAUUCAUCCCUUCAAAUCAAAGAUUCCCAAAACAUUAGAGGUUAAGGCCGCUGCAGACAUGCACACGGUUCCUGGUAAAGGGAACAGCUUCAUACAUGUGAGGGCUGAUGGGAAGGACAGGGUGAAGCUGGAUGUACAGAUGUCCCACUUCCUCAAGAGGGAAGACAGAGCUGUGAGACUGAGGAUGAACUUAUCCCAGAGCUUGCUGCCUGUGGCCAACAACCUACAUGUCAACAUGGCUGCCAGCAUGUCUUCAAAUAGUGUGUCUCUACAUGGCUCUUAUACACAGGAACAUGAGACUCUGCUGGCUCAGAUGAAAAGCUCACUAAACAAUACCCCGGGUCUGCAGCUGGCUGUGUCAGGAGACCUGAGGCACUCCAUGACCAACCUCGCUAUGCUUCCUCCAGUUCUGGAGCUGGAUGGAGCUCUGGGACAGUCUGACACCCUCCUCGAAGGCCAGUUAAGAGUUAGAGUAAUGGACACCUUGUACAGUGUUGAGCUGAGGCAUCAAGAGGAUUCUGGAGAAUAUUUGGACAAAGAAGAAGAAGGCACGGUGGGAAAAAGGUCACACAGGGUCUGUGAUUGGUUGUGUGUUUGGUCGGGCCAGGAGAAUUUGUGCGUGAAUGUGAGCCGCCAACAUGGGAAUCAAGGGAGGGGUGAGGUCUACGCACGACUUUCUCACUCUUUCCGCCUGCUUACAGUCAAAGGUGUACCUGCCAACAACAGUGUCCAGGUGAGGUGGGGCCUGGACAGUGGUCGACUGUCAGUCCUGGCGGAGCUGCAGGCAGGACCUGAACAUCUAAAUGCAGAAUUCAAUGGCGGCAAAACAGGUCAUCUUGUCCCACAAUGGGAGUACUUCUCCAGGCUGCAGCACAGAGUCAGUGCCCUGCUCAGUCGAGGCCUGUCAAGCUGCAUUGAAGCAAAAGCACACUACAAGUUAGAAGCAGCAGGUCUGGACACAGGACUGGUACUUCUUGUGGAAGAUGAGAGGAUGGUGGACAUACUUUUUAAUAUCGGAUCAAAAAACGGCACAGCUAUGGUGGUAGUGUCCCUAUGGCAACAGAUGGAGCUAUUGCAGGGACUUAUACCUGCCUCUUUAGAGAUGAACUGCACAGGGGACGCCACUGCAGAACGACUCUCGGCUCAGUGCUAUGGAAAUGUGGCAGGUCGCCCUGUGGAGACUCUUCUGCCCCCACAGACCUCAGUCAACAUCUCAAUCACUCGUUCUGGCAGGUCCACAAACCUCAGUACCAUUUUUCAGGCUGAGGGGAAACCGAAAGGCAGUCUUAUUCUGAACAUAACUUCCCACCCCGGUCUCAGCCUGAAAGCAUCGGUCCAACACUCUAUAGAGGCAAUGCAGACGCUGGCAUUUCCCUCUCAUGGAGCAAUGAUCCUGAAUGUCUCAACUGCACAUGUGCCUGGUGUGGAGCUUGGCCUGGAGCUGGGACGUUGUUAUUUCAGGGGUAAAUUGGGGAAGACAAAGUCAACAGAAGGAGACCAGUCUUCUUACGCUGUCAAUGUGACCAACUACUGUCUUGCUCUACAGGAAACAGUCCUCCCGGUGUUCUUGACUCUUCAGGGUCUCCUGUCAGUCUCCCCCUGCGAGCUGAGGUUAAUCUCCUCUCUGAGGGCAGACAACCAAGACCUCUCCCUGGAGCUGAGUCAGUCCUGUAGGCCUCAGCGCCUCUCUGGGACCCUCACUCACUCCUUCUCUGGGCUAAGGAGUGGAGGUCUGCCGCAGACCAUCAGCAUAGAGGCUGUAGCUCCUGGAGGCCGUGAGCAGACUCACAGUCUGUUCAUCAAGGUUGGGACAUGUCACAUUAGGGCCAACAGAGUCACAGAAGCCACAGGCAGGACACAGUGGCUCUGGGCUCUGGAGUCCAAGUGUCCGAUGUUACAGGCCCAUUUCAACGGGUCAGUGGGGCAGGACCCUGCUGGUGUCUGGACGGCUGUGAUGGACACUAAUCUGGAGAGAAAAAGGGGUUUUGUGAGGCUCAGUGCAAAGGCCUGGCCAGAUGCAAGUGUAGAGAGUGAGUUCAGUCACAACAUCCCUGAUUUCAGAGGUUUACCUGAACACAGCAGAGUGAGAGUGACCAGCAGGACAGGACAGCAAUACAAUGCUGAAGCCCUAGUUCAGAUGGACGAAUGUGCAGUCAGAGCCACUGGAGCUGUGAUGUUGCAGCCUGGCCUGCAGGGGUCACUGGUGUAUCACAGCAACUGCUCUGUGAUUCAGGUAAAGCGAUCAUACCCUAUAUAUAAAUACUACAUUACCACAUUAAUUAUUACACAG
rnacentral:lncRNA from 1 species